UUAAACAUUUAUGUACAUUUUAAGUGGCAACCAAAGUAUUUCUGAAUCCUAUCCCUGUGUAUGGUGUAACUUUUUGUUCCAUUGAAUAGGUGUCGAAGUGUCGGUUAGCCUUGUGUGUACAGUUUACAGUCCGUCAUUGUGUAUGAAAGUUUUCAAGUCAAUUUCAUUGUUUUACGACAAUCUAGUGUGCAAAAAAAAAAACCUUCAUCGUUUUGUCCUGCCUUAUUCAUGCUUGGUCUCUUCGGAGCUAAGGUCUAGUGACGCCUUGCUGUGAUGUUGUUGCAAAGUGCUCAAAUGCACUGUUUAGCCUCAUGUGCAAAAUAAUUCAGUCUUGUUCCCAUCUACUGAGGUUUAAUUUAACUUUUAAAGAUUUCAAGUUGUAUCUUUUGUCUAACAAUUCAAGUUUAUCUUUAGCAGUGCUGCA